rnacentral:tRNA from 1 species
UGGAGAUAUAGCUCAGUGGCAGAGUGUCUACAUAGCAUACAUAAAGUCCUGGGUUCUAUCCCCAGUACUGAAA